rnacentral:rRNA from 1 species
AUUGAACGCUGGCGGAAUGCUUUACACAUGCAAGUCGAACGGCAGCACGGACUUCGGUCUGGUGGCGAGUGGCGAACGGGUGAGUAAUGUAUCGGAACGUGCCCAGUCGUGGGGGAUAACGUAGUGAAAAUUACGCUAAUACCGCAUACGAUCUAUGGAUGAAAGCGGGGGAUCGCAAGACCUCGCGCGAUUGGAGCGGCCGAUAUCAGAUUAGGUAGUUGGUGGGGUAAAGGCCCACCAAGCCAACGAUCUGUAGCUGGUCUGAGAGGAGGACCAGCCACACUGGAAAGGAGACACGGUCCAGACUCCUACGGGAGGCAGCAGUGGGGAAUUUUGGACAAUGGGCGAAAGCCUGAUCCAGCCAUUCCGCGUGCAGGAUGAAGGCCCUCGGGUUGUAAACUGCUUUUGUACAGAACGAAAAGGUUUCUACUAAUACUAGGAGCUCAUGACGGUACUGUAAGAAUAAGCACCGGCUAACUACGUGCCAGCAGCCGCCGCGG